AUUGAACGCUGGCGGCAGGCCUAACACAUGCAAGUCGAACGAGUGGCGGACGGGUGAGUAAUGUCUGGGAACCUGCCUGAUGGAGGGGGAUAACUACUGGAAACGGUAGCUAAUACCGCAUACCAUCAGAUGUGCCCAGAUGGGAUUAGCGUGUGGGUGGGGGAAAGGCUCACCAGGGCGACGAUCCAUAGCGGGUCUGAGAGGCUGACCAGCCACACGUGAACUGAGACACGGUCCAGACUCCUACGUGAGGCAGCAGUGGGGAAUAGUGGACAAUGGGCGCAAGCCUGAUGCAGCCAUGCCGCGUGUAUGAAGAAGGCCUUCGGGUUGUAAAGUACUUUCAGCUGGGAGGCGGUACCCGAAGAAAAAGCACCGGCUAACUCCGUGCCAGCAGCCGCGGUAAUAC
rnacentral:rRNA from 1 species